UCUUAAUGGUUUUAUAUGGUUUUUGUUAUUGAUGAAUAAUUUGGGUGUCGAUGAUUUGUUGUUCUUCACUGAUUUAGAGUGGGUCUUUUUGGGUUGAAUCCGAAAAUGGAUAUGGAUUUUAUGGGGUUUGAUUUAUAUGAUUUUUGUUGGUUGGGUAUUAGUCGAAUGGGGCUUAUGUAUGAGGUUGUUGAUUUUGGGUUACUAAUAGGUUUAUUUAGUAUAUUGAUGAGUGUUUGAUAUUAGGUAGUUGAUUUUAUGAGAAUAUGCAAUUUGGGUGUUUUGUCAUUCUAGCCUAGUGGGUUGAUUUUCUAUGAUGGUCAAAGGGGUUUUGGAUGAUCAUUUUGUUGGUGAAUUUCUAUAGUAUUGAUACUGUGAUUAAUGGUUAAGUUCAUUACCAUGGUAUUUCUAAAUCAGAAUUUAUGGCUUGACGUGGGGCUUUGCUAUGUUGAUAUAUUGGUAUUGGACAUUGGUGAAUUGGUAGAUUUAGUGUUGGUGUUAUUUUAGGGCUUUGCUUGGAGUGGCUUUGUGCUAGUUAAAUCCCUCUUUGAGUAUUGAUGCUUAGAUAGAGGAAUGAUGGAUUCUUGAUGAAAUGAGGUUUGGUUAAUCUCUUUGUUAUGGCUAUUUGUGUUGAAAUGAAGGUGUGAGAUUGUUGAAUGUAGGUUAAGUAUUAGUUGGUUGAGAAGAGCUGAAGUUAUUGUGUUUAGACUCUUUUGUGUCAAUGGUAAAUACGGUUGAAAUAGAGAAUAAGUUGUAAUAGAAAGUAAGGGCGUAAGCUAAAUAGUAAAGUGAUCAAAUUGAUGGGGUUAUAGAAUUUUAGUUAACUCGGUUUAGUUAUUAUCCCCAAUUGAAUCACUAGGGUUCUAUAAAACCUAAUUAAUGAAUAAGGUAGUAAAUGAGAUGAUGAUUUAUAAGGUGAAAUUGUUAUAGGAGCAUGAUAUGUCCCAAAAUAAUCUUUAGGUGUUAGAGAGAAAUUAUAGGUUUUGAAUUUACUUGGAGAGGUACUAAACUAAUAAGUUAAUAAGGAUUACGUAUUAAAUAUAAGGUUAAAAGGAGAAUGCCGUAAAAUGGUAAAUAGCUUAAAUAACCUUAAGACGAGAAAAAUAAAAUAGUGGUAUUAUGGGAAUACCUAAAUAGACUUUAAAGUCAAUUGGUAAAUGAAUGACUUAGUACUUAGUUCACUUAUCUAUGUACACAUAGUAUUAUAGUGUAAUAAUGGACUAGGUUUAAGUAUUGUAUGUGUAUACGAAUAUAUGUAUACAUAUGCAUAUACAUGUAUGUGACUUAAGUAUAUAUAUAAUACUAACUUGGUGAAUAAACAAGAAACUAUAAAAAGGGAUUAACAAUGAUAAUGUGACUUAAUGAUAAUAAGUAAGCUAAAUAAAAUAGUAAAUACAUGAUUAUAUUAAUAAACAAAGAUUAUAUGAACCUAGACAUAAAUGUUAACCUAUUAAUAGUUUAGACACUUAACUAAGUUUUAGAUGUGGACAAAGCGACGUGUGAGAGCGCGGGUAGUUUAGGCGUCAUAGAGUAUGAGAUUCGAUAGCAUAGUCUAAUGUUACUAAUGUUUGCAGGAUCGAGUUAUAAUUGGAGACUUCAAUGGGUUCUCCAAUGUAGAGUUUGAGUUGGAGUCCAAUGCAGCCGAGGAAAGACGUGUUAGCAUGAUUAAGUUUAACUCUAGUGCUCUCAUGAUCUACUGACGUCAAGGCACGAAGCUGGAAUACAAUUAGAGAUGGUGUUGCGAGUGUUUUGUUGAAGGAUGUUAUCCUAGUACAGAAAAGUAAGAUGCCAUGUUCUUUGCUUAAGACCUAUGUGUAUACGUGAUAUCUGUGAUGGAGUGAUCGUGUGCACAUAUGUCCAAGCGACUGGUGAAAAGUAUUAUUAUAGAGGGGUUUAUAUGUAGAAACUUCCAAGGAGGGAUGUCUGGAACUUCUACAUGUUUUCAUAGCUAUAUAGUAUGUUUUAAAUGAUUUCUGAAUAGUUGGUGUUUGCUAUAUUAGCUAUUGGUAAAUUGUGGCUAAUAUAGUGCUCGCACGACUAAAAAUAAAAUAAGGAUUGGUUCUUUGUGAAAAUUCAGUUAGUCUUAUACCACUGAGGUCUUAGUGUGUUUCAUGCUAAGGCGGUGAACUCAUUCUUUCACCUAUGCGGAUGUGGAUACCACUACAACCGUGUAGAUGAUGUUUCUUUGGCUGUAGGUACUUCGGUAUAGUUGAUGGGUUGGUAGUAGUGUACUUGGGAUAUUAUGACUGAAGCUCGCCGCGACAGUUGUAAUUGUCGGAUCACGGGUUGUCCACUAUUUUAUAGGUUAGGUAUGGCUUGUGACGUUUGUGUCAUUUAUUCUUUGUUAAGCCAUUAUUGUUAUGUAAUGAUUGUGUUAAUAAAGACUCAAACAGAUAGACGUUAAAUGGCUCAAUGUUGUAAUUAAGUUGUGAUAGAUGUAUAAGUUGUAAUUUCCGCUAUUCAGAUUUAUGUUUUCCGCUGCAUA